CGUCAAAUCAGCACGGCCCUUACAUCCGGGGCUACACACGUGUUACAAUGGCCAUUACAGAGGGCAGCAAAAUAGUGAUAUAGAGCGAAUCCUCAAAAAUGGUCCUAGUUCGGAUCGGAGUCUGCAACCCGACUCCGUGAAGCCGGAUUCGCUAGUAAUCGCGCAUCAGCCACGGCGCGGUGAAUACGUUCCCGGGCCUU
rnacentral:rRNA from 1 species